rnacentral:rRNA from 1 species
UACGUAGGGUGCGAGCGUUAAUCGGAAUUACUGGGCGUAAAGCGUGCGCAGGCGGUGAUGUAAGACAGGUGUGAAAUCCCCGGGCUCAACCUGGGAAUUGCAUUUGUGACUGCCCGACUAGAGUGUGUCAGAGGGGGGUAGAAUUCCACGUGUAGCAGUGAAAUGCGUAGAGAUGUGGAGGAAUACCGAUGGCGAAGGCAGCCCCCUGGGAUAACACUGACGCUCAUGCACGAAAGCGUGGGGAGCAAACAGGGAUUAGAGUA